AAACACGAUUUUGGAUAGCAGUAGUGUUUUGUCUGCCUGAGUGAUUAGUGUUUCACUUAGCACUCUGUUAAACUGCCUGCCAGAAUCAUAAAGGAUGCAAGCUGGUGUGUCAUAUCUCUCUCCAAGACUGUUAGGAUAUUUAUUUAAGCACGGUGAGGGGAACGUUGUGCUAAGCACCUCAAUGAGCAAUGUGAUCGUAUUGGCUGAUGAUUAUAAGGAGAGGACAGAAAGCCUGCGUGGCUCAUCU
rnacentral:lncRNA from 12 species